AGUGAACGCUGGCGGUAGGCCUAACACAUGCCAGUCGAACGGCAGCACAGUAAGUGCUUGCUCUUACGGGUGGCGAGUCGCGUACGGGUGAGGAAUACAUCGGAAUCUACUUUUUCGGGGGGGUUCACGUAGGUAAACUUACGCUCAUACCGCAUCCGCCCUACGGGUGAAAGCAGGGGAUCUUCUGACCUUGCGGGGUUGAACUCGCCGAUGUCCGAUUUGCUAGUUGGCGGGGUAAAGGCCCACCAAGGCGACGAUCCGUUGCUGGUCUGAGAGGCUGGUCGGCCACACGGGAAGUGGAACACGGACCAGGCGCCUGAGGGAGGCAGCAGUGGGGAAUGUUGGACAAUGGGCGCAAGCCUGAUCCAGCCAUACCGAGUGGGUGAAGGAGGCCUUCGGGUUGGAAAGCCCUUUUGUGGGGAAAGAAAAGCAGCAGGUUAAUACCCCGCUGUUCUGACGGUACCGAAAGAAUAAGCACCGGCUAACUUCGUG
rnacentral:rRNA from 1 species